rnacentral:lncRNA from 1 species
AUUCAGACCAGAAUAAAAUGCAUGUUUGAAAUCAAAUUUUCAGACUUUUGAAACUAUAAUGAUGCAUGAUUCAGAACAGGAAAAAAUUGAGCAUAAAGAGAUGUUAGGUGGUCCUCGAAGAAGACGUGAGUUCAGACAACUCAUUACCCAAAACCGUGAUUUGCCGAUCCAGGUAUAUUAUUAUACGCUGACUUAAGUGCCGUGUAGCGUAUCA